rnacentral:snRNA from 1 species
AAACUUUUUCAAAAGAAAAAAAAAAUCUGUUCUUAUCAGUUUAAUAUCAGAUAUGUCCUCUAUGCGAGGACAACAUAUUAAAGUAAUUUUUAGAAGUGGGAGCCGAAAAAGGGGCUUGCUCCGUUCGCUCCACACAUCGACCCGGCAUUGCAGUGCCGCCAGGUACGGUGCAACCUUC